rnacentral:rRNA from 2 species
GUCGUAACAAGGUUUCCGUAGGUGAACCUGCGGAAGGAUCAUUGUCAA